UAAGUUUCAGACUUGAACCCAGAGAGGUGCCAGAUCAAAAGCAGAAGUAUCAUCUUCUAUUCCUUCGACCCAAUGUUUCAUCACCAAAAUGGUUGUCCAUGACCUAGGGACCACCUCCUACUAUCGUGUCUCUGUCCUCCUAUUUGGAACAUAAAACUGAAACAUAUUUGGGCCAAUUCUAUGAUCCUUAAAUUCCUCGGUAACCCCAAGCUGUGGUCACGAAGCUCCUAACUCCGACAAAGUUGGCCACUUUCUCACCUACGAUUCUCCCCACUAAACUCAACUGACAUUCUUGAAUCCCUAUAGCUAUCUCUUCACCACCCAGGUCAGUUCCUUCAAGUUCUUUAUCUGAAAGAGCGUACUUUCUUGUCGCAUCCGCUAGUUCCUCCGCCAUGGGUUCUAUACAAAUACUAACGCUAUCUCCUACUCUCCCUACUGAGACCAAGACAAGUAAACCAAGGAGCCGAACAACAGAAGAGAGAGCUACCUAGGCAGACUAGGACGAUCACAGAGCAGACAAAAACCCUUCCCCUUUGUCUGAGAGUUAGUCUCAAAUCCCCUUUUUUGCUAUUUUUUUGUAUAAGCUUAAAAUUUAUGUAUCUUCCUUAUGAAAAGAGAGAGAAAUACUGAAAAAAGAAGCCCCAAACCUUGAACAGAAAUGAAAAACACAAGAUAGGACAGUGGAUUUAAUGGCUAUGAAGAUACCUGCCAGCACACUUACUACUACUAUGGAGUCUGUUUCCUUUGUCCAGAUGAGCCAAGAUCACUUUGCAUGCAGACAGAUUCCGACAAUGUUGCUAAAACAGAGGUGUGAGCUAUCCCCACUGAAUGAGGAACUCGAUUCUCUCAAAGUUCUAAACUUUUGGUUGGUUAACUCAUCCCAGUUCGAUCUUCUUUAAUUUGAUCAAGCAUUAAAGGUUCUGGGUGAUAUCUAAAUCUAGGGAAUGUGUGUGAGUGUUUGCGGAAAUUUUGGAAAAUUUUGAGAAAGUUUGAAACUCUCAAGGUUGAGAGACUAGCACUCUUACCAAGAGAGAGAAACUCUCACUUUGGAGAGACUGUCCUAUGAGUUUAUGUUUAUACGCUUUAGCAAAAUCCCACCAAUUUCUUGGUUUCAAAUCUUUGUGGGAUUGAAGAAUCAGAAUCAGCACAAAGGGUUCCACCUUUCCACCCUUUUGACAGCAUAGCUGAAAAUCCAGUUUAACCAUGGAGCGCAGAUUUCAGUCCAUAUCAAAAUCAUGGAGGGCAAAAAUUGACAACCCAAAACAGUCGGAAUUUAGCUGGAGUUCGCAUUCUAAUGGAGGGCUUCACUAUGGCUAGUACAAACUCUAAUAAGGACGAAGCCUUCUUUAUGGUGGUGGUUACCGCGGUAGAGGACGGUGAAGAAAAGGAGAAAGAACCGAAAGCAGUACUGGAUAAAGAAGGAGAAGAAGUAGUUGCUUUUGUUUAUGGUAGUAGUAGCAUGCAAAAUAAUGUUGUGGUAAGUUCAAUUGCUUGUCAGUUUUUUCUUUUGAAUGUUGUCAUAAAUGUUAUAUUUCCAUAACCUUCUGUUUUUGAGUGAAUUGGGGGAUAUGAUUUUAACUUGCUUCUAAAUUAAGUUUAAGAAUCUUCUUGUGGCCUAAAUAUCAGGAUUCGAAAGUCAUCACUAUUAGUUUGGAGAAUAAUGCCCUUUACCAUUGUAUUUUGCCAAAGAACUCUUAGCUGAGAGCAUUCAGCACCUCAAGAAGUUAACCUUCGUUGCCUAUCAAAGGUGAUAAUAGGCAAGCUUUUGUAUGAAUAAAUGAUCAAUGAAUCUGGAAACUUGAGAAAUAUU